AUUGAACGCUGGCGGCAGGCCUAACACAUGCAAGUCGAGCGGAUGAAGGGAGCUUGCUCCUGGAUUCAGCGGCGGACGGGUGAGUAAUGCCUAGGAAUCUGCCUGGUAGUGGGGGAUAACGUCCGGAAACGGGCGCUAAUACCGCAUACGUCCUGAGGGAGAAAGGGGGGGAUCUUCGGACCCCACGCUAUCAGAUGAGCCUAGGUCGGAUUAGCUAGUUGGUGGGGUAAAGGCCUACCAAGGCGACGAUCCGUAACUGGUCUGAGAGGAUGAUCAGUCACACUGGAACUGAGACACGGUCCAGACUCCUACGGGAGGCAGCAGUGGGGAAUAUUGGACAAUGGGCGAAAGCCUGAUCCAGCCAUGCCGCGUGUGUGAAGAAGGUCUUCGGAUUGUAAAGCACUUUAAGUUGGGAGGAAGGGCAGUAAGUUAAUACCUUGCUGUUUUGACGUUACCAACAGAAUAAGCCCCGGCUAACUUCGUG
rnacentral:rRNA from 1 species